UAAGAACAAAAGAUAAAACUUUGCAUUAAAAUAUUAAAGUGUUUACAAAAUGAGAAGAGAGCAUACAAAUUAAAACUAGAUCUAGACUAUAAAAGAGAGGCUACUAAAAAUAUGAAAUCCUAGGUUGCUAGGUUACUCCUUACAAGUAAAGAUAAGGGAGUAUUUAUAACUAAAGAAUUAGGGUUUGGGGGUAGGGUGGCUCAAUCUUGACCAUCCAUGUGCCUUGUGUGUUGGGAAGAUUGUGGCCCUCCAUGUGUCCCUUAGUUGCCAACUCUUUUUUUCUUCUUUUCUUUUCCCUUUUCUUCUUUUUCUUGCAUUUUCUCUUCUUUCUUUAUUUACCUACAAUUUCCUGAAAUAAAAUAAAUAAGCGAUUAAUACUACGAAAAUAAACAAAAAAUAGGCACUUAAAUAUGCAAAAAUAUGGACUAAUCAAACUUCCCCAUACCUAUCUUUUGCUCGUCCUCGAGUAAAAAUCAAAAGAAAAGAAAAUAAACUAAGAAAACUAGAUGCGAUUCCUAGGCUCCUUUUCGUAGGCGUGACGGGUGAUUUUAGGUUCACCAACCCGUUAAACUCGUAGACGAUCUCUACAAGAGGAGUUUUGUCUCCUAAGGGUUUACAGAAGAUAUACCCAUAAAAUCUUCGAGACAUUCUAGCAAGUGUCUACUCGACUCUACUCUAAUUUCGUUGGUGUUAACAAAAAGCGUUUUUAAGGAAAAUACGACUUAAAGACUCAUCUACUAAUAAUCAAGAUACAGUUGUCUCUAAUCUACUUGCAUCGACACAAAGAUUUACUAGAAAUCCAAGGAGUGUAAGUAAUUUAAGGCCUUUGAUGGAUCCUAAUUGUCUAAGAAUACUUUCUCUUCUUCAACCAAUUUUGAACUUACCCAAUCUCUAUCGAAACAAAAAUCUAGCCAAACUUCACAAACUCUUAUUCUUUUUUUUCUUUUUUCUUUUUUCUCUUUUUUUUUUUUCUUUUUUGCAUUGACUUUAUUUUGUCCGUUUUCUUAGGCAAACAAUGUUACCCAUGUAGCGAGCUUUGGGUCAGUGACUCCCAAACCAAACGGUUUUAGGGCACUAGGUUUUGAAAUCCCCCUACGGACUUAAUUACUCGAGUAACAAAGGCCACAAAACGAGACUAGCCAAUCUACUUUUGCCCAUUUAUCUAAAGAUUUUAUCUAUAAAGAACAAUGGGUAUUGAAGUAGUUUAUUCCUCCUUUUUUUUUUUUUUUAAUCUCUCUUUUUUUUUCUAUUUUUUUAUUCGCAAAGGUUCGAUUCGACAUUGUUUCAACAUGUGGGUUCUCUCUCAGGUAUCGAAUAAUAUCACUAGACAAUCUCUCCAUCAAAGGUCUUCUGCAAAGUGUGUGCCAUCUUGGAAUUUAGAGUACAAAUCGGUCGAUACAAGUUUCAAAAAGACAACCUUACUCAACUACGUUCAAAUUAUCUAAAAGACACUACAUAUAUAUACUUUUCGAAAACAUGCUAAACACCAACUACUCCUAAAGUUCGAGUGAGGGAAAGACAACUUAGCUAAAAGAAUCUCUAUUUUUGGAUUUUUCUAAUUUUUCAUUUUUUAGGGUUUUCAUUUUUUUAGAAUUACACUAAAGCCCUCCCCAUACCUAAAUCAUGCAUUGUCCUCAAAGUAUGCAAAAGAGAGAUUUAAAAUGAGAGAGUAAAGAGAAAAAUAUCUGAAAUGGAUAUGAAGCGGAUUUUUAUUAACGAAUGAAACACUAACACGACCCACACACGCACACAUUUCCUUCCCCAUACCUGAACUUCAUGAGGGAAGGUUCUAAGGAGGAACCACUUCAGCCAAUUCCGGAAGGAAAGAUAGGAGGAAGCUUCGAGAAAGAGUCAAAAUGUUUUCGAAAAUUUUUAUGCACAAAUACUUUCUCUAGCACGUCACCAUCGUUUACCCCUAUAGGACAAGUAUCACUAAUGUUCUCCCUAAACCAACUUAACGCUUCUUUAUUAUCAAGCAAAUUAGAGACUAUGCAUUUUUGGUCAUAGGAUAAAUCACUAGGAACGAUGUAAGAAAUGAUGUCAUCCUUUCCUAAGGCGCUAUGUGAAUGAUGGAACAAUGAGUCAAAUGUCGGUAAUUCACCUACAUGACUCUCUAAAUCGGGCCUAGGGUCAACACGCACAAUCUCGGGCGGAGUUUCCCAUUUUGAACAAAUUUCGUUCAAUUCUCCUAACAACUCCUCCGAGGUCAACUCUUUCAACGACUCAUGAUAUUUCCUAUUGUUCUCGUUGUUGGCUUUGAAAUCCUCGUUGAGAAGAGACUCAAUCUCACUAUCCUCAAAGCUAGACCAUGUGACAAACUUGUUGACUACAUUAACCCCUAUUGGUUGCUCAUAAAGCUCGUUGGGUUCUUUUCCUACAUUGAAAAUGUUUAAGUCUAUGGUCAUGUUUCCAAAAGUGAGCUUCAUUGAACCAUUCCUACAAUUAAUUAAGGCAUUGGAUGUAGCAAGAAAAGGCCGUCCUAAAAUGAUAGGAAUUUGGUUCUUAGGAUUCGAGACGGGUUGAGUCUCGAGAACAACAAAGUCAACGGGAAAGAUAAAAUCACCGAUUUUGAUUAACACAUCCUCAAUAAUUCCCUUCGGCAUCUUAAUGGAACGAUCGGCAAGUUGAAGGGUCAUAUUGGUGGUCUUGAGAUCCCCUAAACCUAGGGCUUGGUAGACCGAGAAAGGAAGAAGAUUCACACUCGCUCCUAAAUCAAGUAAAGCUUUAUCCACAAAAGUAUUGCCUAUGACACAAGAAAUUGUAGGACAACCGGGGUCCUUAUAUUUCACGGGAAUUUGAUUCGAGAGAAUCGAGCUUACUUGCGAGGUCAAAAAGGCUUUCUUAGGAACAUGGGUGGUUCUCUUAUGGGUACACAAAUCUUUUAGACACUUGGCAUAAGAAGGAACUUGUUGAAUGGCAUCUAAAAGAGGAAUGUUUAUCUUGACUUGUUUGAAAACCUCUAGAAUUUGUUCCAGUUGGGCCGAUUUUUUAGGAGGAAUGAGUCUUUGUGGGUAAGGAACCCUUGGCUUGUAAACUUCUUCGUUGGGCUUUUGAGAAAUAGGCCCAGGAUUAGGUUCACUCAUAGACUCACGGGCUUUUGAACAUUCGGGCUUAUCAUGAUUAGUGCUAGACAAAGAAGGAUUUGUUUUAGGAAUCGACUCCUCAUUUUCAUUAACGUUCUCACCAACUUUGUUAUCCACUUGAUUUCCCGACCUUAGAGAGAUAAUCGCAUUAACAUUCUCGGGAGGUCUUUGAUUGAGAGGAAACUUAGGAUUGACCUCGGGUUGACUUGGCAACUUGUUCUUCUCUCGCUCACACAACGCGCUAGCUAAUUGACUCAAUUGGGCCUCUAACUUAGACACGGCUUGCACAUUAGAAUGCAAAAUUUGCCUAUCUUGGGUUAGGGUUGUCAUGAAGGUUUGUUGUGAUUGAGUCAAAUUAGUUUGCGAUUUAACUAAGGCUUCCAAACUCUUUUCUAAAGAAUUGAGGCGUUUAUCCGAAUCAUUGAAACCGGGAGGAUUCAAAGGAGUUUGAAUUGGGUUAUGACAUGAAUUUGGACCUUGAUUUGGGUAAGAGUUUGGGUUGGGCCUUUGUUGAAAAUUUUGUUGAGGAGUUGGAAAAGAAUUUGGCCCUUGAUUCAUUUGAAAAUUGGGUUGAGGAACUUGACAAUUUUGACCUUGGGUCCAUGAGAAAUUUGGGUGAUUUCUCCACCCGGGAUUAUAAGUGGGUGCAAACGCAUCAUUCCUAGAAUUUUGAAACAUCGCAUUUACUUGUUCAAGUUCGUGCGAAGGUUGGGUUCCGGGAUUUUGAAAAUUGUAAUUAGGGAGCAUCGACAUUUGUGGGGGAGAUUUACUAGUUUCUAAAGCUUCAAGUCUCCUAGUUAGGGUGGCUAGUUUGGCAUCGGUUGCCACAUUAUUUCCUAUCGAAUGCAAGCCCCUAGCGCUAGAUGACUGAAUUGACUUUUUGGGCUCCCUAGUUGACUCCCACAUCAUAGUCUUUUCCGCUAAAUCCUCGAAAAAUUCCCACCCUUGAUCCUCAUCUUUUUCCAUGAAUUUACCUUGGCACAUAGACUCUAAUAACGCGGUGGUUUGACUAUCUAAGGCCUCGUAAACUAUCUUGCAAAGUCUCCAUUUUUCUAUUCCGUGGUGGGGGCAUUGUGAGAGAAGAUUUUUGAAGCGGUCAAAGAAAAUCCAAAAAGACUCAUUUUCCUUUUGAUGAAAUUGAUUUAUUUCAUUUGUAAUUCGAGUAGUCUUAUGAUUUGGAAAAUACUUUUUAAGAAACACCACAACGAACCCCUCCCACGUGGAAAUAGAAUUAACGGGAAGACUAUAUAACCAUUUUUUCGCAUUCUCCUUAAGCGCAAAAUUAAUGAGCCUAAGUCUAAUCGAAUCUUCCGUUAAUUGGUGGAGCUUUUGGAGGGAACAAACUUCCUCGAACUCUUGGAUAAAAAGAUAAGGAUCCUCACCCUCACUCCCGGUAAAUUUAGGUAACAUGCUAAUGUGGUGAGCUUUGAUUUCAAAAUUGUUCCCAUUAACGGGAGGAAGGGUGAUGCACGAAGGUUGACUUGAACGAGAUGGAUAACAACGAUCCUUGAGUGAAAGGGCCAUGUUUACUAUCGGUUCUAGAACUUCUAGGGUUUCGGAAUCCGAAGAGGACGAGGGAAUCUCGAUUAUAGGUCUUACUAAUCUAGACGAUUCGUUCCUAACCCAAGUAGUUCGCAUAAACUAGAUAGUAAACACGUAGCAAGUAAGUGCGAAAAAUUAAAACACACAAAAGAAAGGGUGUAAAAGAGAAAGAAAAACCUAAAUCUAGGGUUCCCUAAAAAAAAUAAACUAGACCUUGCUCCUAACGUUAAGGACCACCAAAAACUCGAUAAAUCCAAAAUUAUUCGGACCGGUUUGGCCAGUUUGGAGCAGGCAUUGCCAAGAGGCCAAUCUCCGCGCUUAGACACCAAACCUUAAUCGGCCAGGUAAGCUUUCGCUUGCCUUAGACACCGAAAAGUCGGAAUAAUUAAAGAUUACCUCGUCUUUUAGGUACCUUCCUAAUUGAGCGCGAAAUCCUAGGGGCUAACGUCUAAUUCAAUUUUAUUAAAAGGCUAGGGAAAUGCAAAAUGAAGUAAUUAAAUCGUUGUGGGCCAAGGAAAGAGUGAUCAAAUCCCUUCCCUUAUCUUAUGAGUGGGUUUUGCCCUUAAGAUUUAUUUAAAAUGAUGCUCCACACAACGAGAUAAUUAAAGCGGUAAACAACUAUGGAUGCUCUACACUACGUGUUUUAUCUAAAGAAAGAAAGAAAAUUAACGUACCUUUGGGUCUUCCAGCAAUCACCACAAUUUAAGGUACGAAAAUUUAAAAACAAAAAUUAAAAACUAGAUGAUGUGCCCUAAGUGAUUAAAUGCAUGAUGCAACACAUAUGUAAUUCUAUCUAAUAUUUUUGGAUUUUAAAAUUUUUAAUUUGUUUGUGAUUUUUUAAUUUUCAAUUUUUUUGUGAUUUUCUAAAUAAAAUAAAUUGAAAUAGGAGAGAGAUACAAGUUACCCAAGCAAGCUUCCAAUACUCCAAGAAUAUUCUCCACUUAUUCCAAGCUAGCUCAUACUCUUCCAAUUUCCUAAAAUUCAACAAAAAAAGAAGUGAGAGAAUAUAAAAAAAAACUAAUCCGAAAAAUUAAAAAUUAAGGCGCGAAAAUUAAUUUUAGUCCCCGGCAGCGGCGCCAAAAACUUGAUGUGCUCGAAAAGAGAUUUAAAAAUAAUCGCAAGCGCACGAUCUCCGUUUUAAUAUUUAUGAUUCGUUCCACAGGGAUUAAAAUUUUAUUCUCGCAACCUUAAAUUAAUAAAUUAUGCGGAUUAGAACAAUUAAUUGUGAGAGGGGUUUUUGACAUAAAGUCUAAAAUGCUCACUUAGAAAGUAAUUUAAUUAGAGUAAUUAAUUAUCACUUAAAAAGAUUUACUAAUUAACAUGUCUAAGUUAAAUGGAUCAGAAUUUAAGUACUAAAUUAACUAGCGGCCAAAACUUCAGUUGUAAACACUACUAAGUUAACAAAAAAAAACUAAUCUGGCAGGGUAUAUAAAAACUACGACAAAGCAAGCACAUGACUAUCGUAAUUGUAUAUUAAAACAAAUGAUGAAAACACUUUGAAACUUCAGCCAACAUCUACGGAAUACAAAAAUAAAAGAAAUAAACUAGCACCAGGCAAUGAACUCGGUGGUGACUCAGCAGGUUAAACUAACAGAAACGAACCCACGAAACAAACUUAAGUUAAAGCAAAGCAAACACAUAAAUUCACCAGAAUACUACACAACUCAAAGGUGACUCGAUUAAAUACAAGCCAAACUCGUUAAACAAACUCAGUGCAGACAACUCAAAACUCAGCAAGAACACAAUCAAAAGCAAAGAAAAUGGGUUCGAAAACAGGACAAACUCGAGCAGCAUACAUACUUAAGUCAGAACUCGGUGCAAAACAGAAAAUCGAUUCACAAGAAACUGGAUUGAAAACUCUGUCUAAACUCAGCGAGUAAAAACAAGAAGAAAAUAUCACAGCAGCGGAAAAGAAAUGCCUCGGAACGGACUCGGUUUUGGACAGACUCAGAAAACAUGUACUCGGCUACAAACCCAGCUUGGCGAAUCAGAAACAAACAACUCGAUGCUGUGACUCGAAUGACUCAUGAGCAGACUUGACGAAAACAGAGCAAUGCAGACAAACAAAAGAUGCAGCUCGAAAAAAAACCAUACUAAACUCAACAUCAGAAAAUCAGAACUCGGCGAACACAGGCUCGCAGGUGGACUCGGUAGACUAUUCAGUAACAACGGGACAGAAACAACGACUCAAACAACACCAACGAUACUAAGUAAACAAAUCGCAACUCGGAAAAACAGAGGAGCAGCUACAGUACUCAGUGAGUCGACUCAGUGAGGUGACUCGCGGCAAAUCGAAAGCUCAAUGAAGACAAAAUAAAGCAGGGUUUUGUUUUAAACGAAAAGAAGAUUAAUAGUUUAGUAUAACGCGAAACAGGGGAGUUAUACUGCUGUGCUUGUAGUAAAGAAACAAGGAAAUGGGUUUUAAAACAGAGCGAAAGUGUUUGCUUAUAUUAAAGAAAACUAAUCUAAAAGCACGAACAAUUCAGGACUUUUCGGAAUAGACCCUCACACAAAUUGAUUUUGUGUAAGGUUCAAACACCUCUCAAAAAGUAAAUUUAAAGCUAGAAAUUAACUACAUUAUAGGCUCCUUCCAAUCUACAAACAAAUUUGAACCUUUUGUAGUUAGAGGAAGAUUUCAUAGCCAAAGUAAACAUAAAGAACAAGAAUGUAAGAACAAAAGAUAAAACUUUGCAUUAAAAUAUUAAAGUGUUUACAAAAUGAGAAGAGAGCAUACAAAUUAAAACUAGAUCUAGACUAUAAAAGAGAGGCUACUAAAAAUAUGAAAUCCUAGGUUGCUAGGUUACUCCUUACAAGUAAAGAUAAGGGGGUAUUUAUAACUAAAGAAUUAGGGUUUAGGGGUAGGGUGGCUCAAUCUUGACCAUCCAUGUGCCUUGUGUGUUGGGAAGAUUGUGGCCCUCCAUGUGUCCCUUAGUUGCCAACUCUUUUUUUCUUCUUUUCUUUUCCCUUUUCUUCUUUUUCUUGCAUUUUCUCUUCUUUCUUUAUUUACCUACAAUUUCCUGAAAUAAAAUAAAUAAGUGAUUAAUACUACGAAAAUAAACAAAAAAUAGGCACUUAAAUAUGCAAAAAUAUGGACUAAUCA
rnacentral:lncRNA from 1 species